rnacentral:rRNA from 1 species
UACGUAGGGCGCAAGCGUUGUCCGGAAUUAUUGGGCGUAAAGAGCUCGUAGGCGGUCUGUCGCGUCUGCCGUGAAAACCCGAGGCUUAACCUCGUGGCUUGCGGUGGAUACGGGCAGACUAGAGGUAGGUAGGGGAGAAUGGAAUUCCCGGUGUAGCGGUGAAAUGCGCAGAUAUCGGGAGGAACACCGGUGGCGAAGGCGGGUCUCUGGGCCGAUACUGACGCUGAGGAGCGAAAGCGUGGGGAGCGAACAGG